rnacentral:rRNA from 1 species
GUGGGGAAUUUUGGACAAUGGGCGAAAGCCUGAUCCAGCCAUGCCGCGUGCAGGAUGAAGGCCUUCGGGUUGUAAACUGCUUUUGUACGGAACGAAAAGACUCCUUCUAAUAAAGGGGGUCCAUGACGGUACCGUAAGAAUAAGCACCGGCUAACUACGUGCCAGCAGCCGCGGUAAUACGUAGGGUGCAAGCGUUAAUCGGAAUUACUGGGCGUAAAGCGUGCGAAGGCGGUUAUAUAAGGCAGAUGUGAAAUCCCCGGGCUCAACCUGGGAACUGCAUUUGUGACUGUAUAGCUAGAGUACGGUAGAGGGGGAUGGAAUUCCGCGUGUAGCAGUGAAAUGCGUAGAUAUGCGGAGGAACACCGAUGGCGAAGGCAAUCCCCUGGACCUGUACUGACGCUCAUGCACGAAAGCGUGGGGAGCAAACAGGAUUAGAUACCCGAGUAGUCC